GAACAGAGGAUGAACUACUCGGAUUCCCCUUCAAGACAUUGUGGGUGAUGCAAAAACCGAGUUUCUGAUGUU